CAGUAGCCACGGUAAUACGUAGGGUGCAAGCGUUAAUCGGAAUUACUGGGCGUAAAGCGUGCGCAGGCGGUUUGUUAAGACAGAUGUGAAAUCCCCGGGCUCAACCUGGGAACUGCAUUUGUGACUGGCAAGCUAGAGUGUGGCAGAGGGGGGUGGAAUUCCGCGUGUAGCAGUGAAAUGCGUAGACAUGCGGAAGAACACCGAUGGCGAAGGCAGCCCCCUGGGCCAACACUGACGCCCAUGCACGAAAGCGUGGGGAGCAAACAGGAUUAGAUACCCCGGUAGUCCCUGUCUCUUAUAC
rnacentral:rRNA from 1 species